CCUACGGGGGGCAGCAGUAAGGAAUAUUGGUCAAUGGAGGAAACUCUGAACCAGCCAUCCCGCGUGAAGGAUGAAGGGGCUCUGCCUUGUAAACUUCUUUUGUCUGGGGCGAAAAAGCUCGAUUUAUCGAGAACUGACGGUACCAGAAGAAUAAGCACCGGCUAACUCCGUGCCAGCAGCCGCGGUAAUACGGAGGUUGCCAGCGUUACCGGGAAUCACUGGGGUGUAAGGGUGCGUAGGAGGCAGUGGAGAAAGGCUGUGGCUUAACCAUGGAAUUGCCAUUGAUACUGCAGAGCUUGAAUGAGGUUGAGGUUGGCGGAAUGUGACAUGUAGCGGUGAAAUGCUUAGAUAUGUCAUGGAACACCGAUUGCGAAGGCAGCUGACUGGACCUAUAUUGACGCUGAGGCACGAAAGCGUGGGGAGCGAACAGGAUUAGAUACCCUGGUAGUC
rnacentral:rRNA from 1 species